rnacentral:rRNA from 1 species
UACGUAGGGGGCAAGCGUUGUCCGGAAUCAUUGGGCGUAAAGAGCGUGUAGGCGGCCCGGUAAGUCCGCUGUGAAAGUCCAGGGCUCCACCGUGGAUGCCGGUGGAUACUGUCGGGCUCGAGUCCGGAAGAGGAGUGUGGAAUUCCUGGUGUAGCGGUGAAAUGCGCAGAUAUCAGGAGGAACACCAAUGGCGAAGGCAGCACUCUGGGACGUGACUGACGCUGAGACGCGAAAGCGUGGGGAGCAAACAGG